rnacentral:rRNA from 1 species
AGUGAACGCUGGCGGUAGGCCUAACACAUGCAAGUCGAACGGCAGCACAGUAAGAGCUUGCUCUUACGGGUGGCGAGUGGCGGACGGGUGAGGAAUACAUCGGAAUCUACUUUUUCGUGGGGGAUAACGUAGGGAAACUUACGCUAAUACCGCAUACGACCUACGGGUGAAAGCAGGGGAUCUUCGGACCUUGCGCGAUUGAAUGAGCCGAUGUCAGAUUAGCUAGUUGGCGGGGUAAAGGCCCACCAAGGCGACGAUCCGUAGCUGGUCUGAGAGGAGGAUCAGCCACACUGGAACUGAGACACGGUCCAGACUCCGACGGGAGGCAGCAGUGGGGAAUAUUGGACAAUGGGCGCAAGCCUGAUCCAGCCAUACCGCGUGGGUGAAGAGGGCCUUCGGGUUGUAAAGCCCUUUUGUUGGGAAAGAAAAGCAGCAGGUUAAUACCCCGCUGUUCUGACGGUACCCAAAGAAUAAGCACCGGCUAACUUCGUG